rnacentral:lncRNA from 1 species
UUAACUCACCGAUUUGAAUGAGCUGUUGGUCUUGGCGGAAUUGACUAAUGAUUCUGCCUUUAAUCCCAUUUGACUGUUUAUAUCGGUGGUUUUCAGGCUCGGUCCAAUUUGCCUUUCUCCCCUUAGUUGACCUCCUUUGACUUUCUGGCCUUGUGGAGUCUUUUUACCGAUAUGUAGUUGAGCUUAAUUUACUGAGCCAGGUUUUUAUCCCCCACAAUUAGCUCUCCAAUACCUUAAAGGGAUGCAAAAUGACUUCGUUUGAGGAAUUUCACUUUGCCACUUUCUCCGCUAUACAUACCCUUGGAGUGCCGACGAUUCUCCUUCCCUUUCACUUUUUUUCCUUCUUUAAGUAUUGCGGUUAGCCUUUCUUUAUUGACGGAUGGCGCUCUCUUCUGUCUCUUAUUCCUGGUGCCAUUGAAUUUCCAGUCCAAAUUCGAUGCUCUCAUUAUUCCCUUUCUAGGCUCUUCCUCCAAUGUCGCCUUUCUAGACUUUUCCUUCCCCCCAGCAAGACUCUCGUGACGGUUCGUAAGGGUUUAACUGUGUCUUCGAAUUGUUCUUUCGUGACAGGGUUUGAUUCCCUCUCCCAAAACUCCUGACGGAGUAUACUUUCUGCAAUGGUAUUUUUAUUUCACAGUUAUCUUCUGGUUUAGUCUGUCAUCCUUUGUCUUCUGGCUACCGCAUGCGACUGUGACACUUCUUUAAGUGUCGAAGAUGUCUC